rnacentral:rRNA from 1 species
AUGCCAACGGUUCCUCUUGGAUGUUUGAUUCCCCAUUUCCUUUUUUUGCUUGUGUCCCAAGUGGUGGUUUUGGUUGUGCAACCGGGUCUGGCAGUGGACCUGGCAGUGGUUGUGGAUUUGGGUUUGGCAAUGGUUGUGGGUUUGGAUCAGGUUGCGGUCCUAGUAAUGGCUGAUGGUCUGGGUUUGGCUGUGGGUCCGACAAUGGCUUCGAGUUUGGGUCUGGUAAUGGUUGUGGGUUUGGAUCAGGCUGUGGUCUUGGUAAUGGCUAAGGGUUUGGGUUUGGCUGUGGGUCUGGCAAUGAUUUCGGGUUUGGGUCUGGCUGCGGUCCUGGUAAUGGUUGAGGGUUUGGGUUCCGGCUGUGGGCCUGGCAGUGGUUGUGGGUUUGGGUUUGGUAAUGGUUGUGGGUUUGGAUCAGGCUGCGGUCCUGGUAAUGGCCGAGGGUUUGGGUUUGGCUGUGGGUCUGGCAAUGGUUUCGGGUUUGGAUCAGGCUGCGGUCCUGGUAAUGGCUGA